rnacentral:lncRNA from 1 species
UGAGAAAUCUGUCUUGGGACUGUUCUCAUUCCAAAACAGAUUGCACUACCCUUCUCUUGCCUUUUUUUUUCUUUUCUUUUUGAAACACCCUUCUCGUGCCUUUAAAUCCAGCAAACACCACUUGUGUUCUGUGCUUAAAUCUCCGUAUGUGAUGGAUUAGGUUCAACAAUUCCUUGAAUCCUUGAUGGGAGAUUGCGAAAAAUUGGUCCCAAUAGUUUGUUGUUUAGUACACAUGUUCAGUAAAAUGUUGAACACCAACAAGUUGUCUUUUGAUUUGUAAUUUGCAAUGUAAUUUCUUUUUUCUUGUGGAAAACUUAAAAUCUUU